rfam:Dipodomys ordii contig_56183, whole genome shotgun sequence.
UAGCUCAGUGGUAGAGUGCUUGCCUUGCAUGCAUGAGGCCCUGGGUUCGAUUCCUCAG